rnacentral:rRNA from 1 species
GAGGGGCAGCAUGAUAGGUAGCAAUACUUAUUGAUGGCGACCGGCGCACGGGUGAGUAACGCGUAUGCAACUUACCUAUCAGAGGGGGAUAGCCCGGCGAAAGUCGGAUUAAUACUCCAUAAAACAGGGGUUCCGCAUGGGACUAUUUGUUAAAGAUUCAUCGCUGAUAGAUAGGCAUGCGUUCCAUUAGGCAGUUGGCGGGGUAACGGCCCACCAAACCGACGAUGGAUAGGGGUUCUGAGAGGAAGGUCCCCCACAUUGGUACUGAGACACGGACCAAACUCCUACGGGAGGCAGCAGUGAGGAAUAUUGGUCAAUGGCCGAGAGGCUGAACCAGCCAAGUCGCGUGAAGGAUGAAGGAUCUAUGGUUUGUAAACUUCUUUUAUAGGGGAAUAAAGUGUGGGACGUGUCCUAUUUUGUAUGUACCCUAUGAAUAAGCAUCGGCUAACUCCGUGCCAGCAGCCGCGGUAAUACCGGAGGAUGCCGAGCGUUAUCCGGAUUUAUUGGGUUUAAAGGGUGCGUAGGUGGUAAUUUAAGUCAGCGGUGAAAGUUUGUGGCUCAACCAUAAAAUUGCCGUUGAAACUGGGUUACUUGAGUGUGUUUGAGGUAGGCGGAAUGCGUGGUGUAGCGGUGAAAUGCACAGAUAUCACGCAGAACUCCAAUUGCGAAGGCAGCUUACUAAAC